AGUAGCUAGACUGCAAAAGGUUCACAGGAGAAUCUCAAAUUUAGAAAAAAAUAAUAUAGCUUAUAAAUAAUUUAUGAUAUAUAUUAUGUACAAAAUAUAUUUUUUAUUUUUUAAAUUAUUUUUAAAAUAUAUAUAGUAUAGAUAUUAAUAAAUUAUUAAAAUAAAAUAUUUUUUAAAAAAUUAUAUUACGUGUAUGGCAUG
rnacentral:lncRNA from 1 species